GACGAACGCUGGCGGCGUGCCUAACACAUGCCAGUCGAACGGAAAGGCGAUGCUUUUGCGGGGUGCACGAGUGGCGCACGGGUGAGUAAAACGCGAGUAAAACGCACCUGACUUUGGGAUAACUCCAGGAAAAAGGGGCGCAAAUAGGAUAGGAUCUCUUGCAGCAUGGGGGGGGUUGGAAAAAUUCGGCGGUUGGGGCUGGAAUCGCGGCUUACCCGCUUGAUGGGCAGGUAGGGGCUUACAAGGGCUUUGAAGGGUAGGCCGCCUGAGAGCGUGACCGGCCUCAAUGCGACUAAGAUACGGCCCAGACGCCUACGUGCGGCAGCGGUGGGGAAUAUUACACAAUGGGCGGAAGCCUGUUACAGCAACGUCGCGUGCGUGAUGACGGCCUUCGGGUUAUAAACCACUUUCGCCUUAGCCGAGGCGUGCGUGACGGUAAUUAGUAAAGAAGCACCGGCUAACUACGUG
rnacentral:rRNA from 1 species